CCCAUUUAGGAUACCAUGUUAUAUUUAGUCAUCCUGGCUUCUUAGGCUCCUCUCUGCUGUGAUGAUUCCUCAGACUUUCCUUGUUUUUGAUGACCUUGACUCUUGUGAGGAGUGCUGCAGGGCCAGUGAGGAGCCAGGCUGAGGAAGAUGCAGAGAAAGGACAUCCCAAUGAGACCUAAGCCACAUCGUUCCAGAGCCGGGCCCACAACUGGGUGUUCUGCCGUUCUUUCCUCCCCCACCCCACCCUCCACGAGACUGUGCCCUCAUUCUUCUCUCCUGGGGCUUCAGCCAUGCCCAGAGCCUGCUGCCUAUUAGUGACUCGAUCAGAGGGAGCAGCCAGCAGUGAAAGGGAGGAUCAAGUCUGUGAGGCUGGAAUGCAAUCAAAUAACAUUUUAAAUGAUGUAGAGUUUCCACAUUACCAAAGCACGUUAACACCAAGAGACUUUACGAGAUGAACAGUCCCAUCCCCAGGACAUGAACAAGAGGAAAGAAGUAAUGCUUAGCACUCAGGGCUGCCCCUCUGUUCAGCUCGAGAAGAGCUGACCUAAGUAAGUCCCAGGGAGGAGAAACCUGGCCGUAUCAAGGCAGCACAGCCUGCAGUCAGUGAGGCCUCCUGCUCACCCAAUAAACAGCCACGUCUCUCCGGA